UACAGAGGGUGCUAGCGUUGUUCGGAAUCAUUGGGCGUAAAGGGCGUGUAGGCGGUUUUGUUAAGUCAUGUGUGAAAUCCCUCGGCUCAACCGGGGAACGACGCAUGAAACUGGCAAGCUAGAGUACCAAAGAGGGGGGGUGGAAUUCCGCGUGUAGCAGUGAAAUGCGUAGAGAUGUGGAGGAACACCAAUGGCGAAGGCAGCCUUCUGGGCCAACACUGACGCUCAUGCACGAAAGCGUGGGGAGCAAACAGG
rnacentral:rRNA from 1 species